UGAAAUUUGCUUAGUUUAUUAUGAUGCAGUUUUAGUUGUUCUAUUCAUUAGGUGUGACAGUUUUAUAGAUAUGGUUUAUUAGAUAGACAGUUCAAGGCUUUGCGAACUCUAUGCCCUCUUAUGUUGACUUAACAAAUGGUCCAAAUACGACUUAUUGAAUUGUGCCUUUGACUUCAAUUUUUCAAUUGUGCCUUUGACUUCAAAUUUUAUUUACUUUUUAUUUUAUUUACAUUUUGUUAGAUUCUAUAUGUCUUCUAGACUAGAAUACAGUACAAAGCUCGCAUUUUAUUUUACCUAUGAGUCAUUCCAACUUUUGUUGAGUGUUUGCCCAGCCAUGUAUUCACCAAUAAUAUGGUAGCUCCAAAUGUGUUUUUGUAUCCUAUAUCAACCAAGUACAUGAAUGGUUUUCUGGAUCUUUACACAAAAUAGCUUUUCAACCAAAACUUAUCUCCGCAGCAUUUUACAUAUAAUAUAUCCUAAAUACUAGAUAAGCUAAUUCAGACAUGUAUUAAAUAAUAUUUUGGGCCGUCUGUAUUUUUGUUGCAUUAAGUGUUGCUUUCUUAAUUGAAGCUAGAUAUUUGGAGCACUCGAAUUGAAAAGUAGCUCGAGCCUCUCAUUCUUUGUUCGUGGCAUUUAUGUCUGGGGAAGGAAUCUGAAAAGAAUGAUAGAGUGUCAUUGAAGGAG
rnacentral:lncRNA from 1 species